AAAUCUACGGUCUCAAAGUAGACCCGAGAAGGGGCGGGGCUAAAACACCCAUGCCAACAGUUCCAGCGUUCAUUUUACUAGCACCAACUACGUACGAAUCUACUCCACAGGAACCUUGGCGAAUUAAGCUGCUUCAAAUGAAGCAAGCCUUUCCCUGCUACCACGACUUGUCCAAAGCAACAACUUUGAUGUUACCCUGCAGGCCUGCACAAACAAAACGCCAUAAGAACCGACGGCACAGCUGCGAAGCAAACAGUCGAUGCUUGAAUAAACAUUACAUGAUAGUAUCAAUCCUAGUGGAAAGAGUCAUGCUUGAAUACCAUCACACGAUACCAUCAAUCCUAGUGGGUUCAUCUUGACCCAGUCCUUGUCAAAUAUACCUAAGAUAGGAGUACUGAUCAGCUUGAUGUACACAACAGUAUGCAUUUUUACUAUAUUUACCAAGACAGAACAUGUCUUAAGCGACCGUCGGUGUCAUGAUCUACAUUUUAAAUUACUACAUCACAUCAAUUCGGCCAUGCCACAGACACAUACCCAACUCAUCUUCUAAAUAAUGAGAAAAUUCAGUGAAGUAGGGUAUAUAAACUACCUAGAUAAUAUGAAACUACUACGCAAGAAUAAGAGCAUUCAUAGAGCUCUGCUCUACUGCAUACAGAACACAAGCAAAAUAAAUAAUGCAUCAAUUCAGUGCACAAAUCACAAACUUGGCUUACAUCAUCAAAGAAUGUUAAAAGACCCGUAAAAAAAAAGGCUAUCAAUAUAUUAAACAAUAAAAUACAUAACUAAGAGAUAGAAGUAUUUACCAAAUACUUCACUCCUGGUUACUGGGGGUGCGGAACAACACGCCAGAACUGUAGAUCUCUUGAAAAGCCUCUAGGUGGAACUGCAGAACGCCGGCAAAGGUCUGAAUUAACCGGCACAUAUUAGCUGCCUCACACAGUGAACUUUCUGCUUCAGCAUGUGCUGUUGGGUCCAAGAGCGAGAAGUUGCUCACAACAUGGUCAAAUUCCAAAACACUGGAUCCCAAUAGUAGAAGCGAACGGUUCAGAACUUGAACUGCAUGCUUGGCUUGGGACAAGUUGUUCUUCAUCUCUACUUGCCGCUCAGUCCCCGUCAUAUCUCCAAACUUAGACUCGUACACAAGCAACAGCCCCGUAACGAACGCAGCGGCGGGCACAAGAACUCGAUGGGCCCCCUCAAUCUCAGCCAUCCAGUGCCCAGCACCCAUGAUCGAUCCGGCCUCCCGCCGGCCUUGUACUACCUCAUCUAUUCCUCUGCGCCAUCCCCGACCCAAUCUAGGGUUUCAUGGCUGGAGAGGAGGGAGAGGACGGAUGCAAGAGGGAGAGGAGGGCCGGAGAGGACGAGGGGACGGAUGGGAGGGAGAGGAGGGAGGGGGCGGGUGGGAGAGGGAGAGGAGGGCCGGAGAUCUUACCGGAGUCGCCGCCGCCGGUUGCAAGCUCGCGAUCCCCUGCUGAGCGAGCGAACAGGUACGCGACGGGGGUGUAGGAAUUGGGCCAACUUUUUCUAGCCCAAAUCCUGUACCAUCAUUCCAAACAACGAAAUCUGGGCUGACAAUUUGAAAAUAAUUUUC
rnacentral:lncRNA from 1 species